AUUUUUUCUUUUAUUGUAAAGGCAGUUUCUUGAGAAAUGUACUAAUUAUUGAGGGCAGCGUUUAAUACUUAGUGUUUCCUUUGAGAUAUCUCUGACUUUCCAAAUAUGCGAUUUGAUUUCUUUUGCUACUAUGAAACCAAAUUAGACUUAUUUAUGUGAUUUAUUAUUUACUAAAUUAUAAAUCGCCGUGAUUUCUUAAAAUGGUUUCUUAAGUUGCAAAAAUUUAUACAGAGAACACGAAAGGAUCUUCUGCAAGAACUAGAUACGGGAGAGUUUUUCACUAUCCUGCAUAAAAGCUGUGAAGUCUACUUCCAAAAGUACUACUUUGGCAAGUCUCACAACUCUGUUCUCCAGGUUUUGUUAUUUUUUUUUUUCCUGAAGCAUAACAUGUAUUCUCUAAAGUGCACAAAUCUUAAAUGUGCAGCUGGACAAAUGUGAGCAAAAUGACCACACCUGUGUAUCUGCCAGCCAGAUCAACAUGCACACCCUCAGGAGAAUGACCACGACCACUGUGAUUACAGCCACCACCCUCAAAGGGCAGACGUCAGAGCUCCAUGACAGCAUCUUGUGUUCAUCUUUGUUCCUGUUUUGGAAGAGGGUAAAGAUAAAUUUCAGAUAUCAUUUUCAUCUAGUUUAUACCAGGAGAAAAGUAACCAUUCACUUCAUUCUCUUCCAAGCUCAUGGAAUUCUGUAUCAAUGAAAAAAUCACAUAGAAGCCAAUUUUGGAUCAAGUAAGAAAAAGAGGGAUAUCUUAGAUAAUCCUCUUUAAAGGAGAUUACCUAAGUGAUUAUUACUGGAAUGAGUAAGCCGGCUUAGUUUGGCUUGUAGUGCUUUAGGAACAUAUAACUGAAAUUUUAAACACAUAUACUGUGAUAUAACAGAUAUCUUAAAUGGCAGGAAGCAUCAAUUUGACUAAAUUUAUUGGCUUAAUUCCAAGGACUGUUCUCUUCAGAAUUGUUCUCAAAAAAUAUAACUUUGAGUCCAGACUUAAAUUGGAAGUUCUCCCAAAUAUAUGCCUUGUUUCCUGCCCAUUAGAAUUUAGACUAAUUGAAAUUUUAUAAAUAAGAUAAAAUCAAUAAUGUACACUGAAUUUUCAUGUAUAUAUUCAACUUUUUGAUUUAUUCAUUUUUGUAAAAAAUAAUAAUUUAUACCUCACGUUUGCAAGGUUAU
rnacentral:lncRNA from 1 species